rnacentral:rRNA from 1 species
GCUCAUGAUGAACGCUAGCUACAGGCUUAACACAUGCAAGUCGAGGGGCAGCAUGGUCUUAGCUUGCUAAGGCCGAUGGCGACCGGCGCACGGGUGAGUAACACGUAUCCAACCUGCCGUCUACUCUUGGACAGCCUUCUGAAAGGAAGAUUAAUACAAGAUGGCAUCAUGAGUCCGCAUGUUCACAUGAUUAAAAGUAUUCCGGUAGACGAUGGGGAUGCGUUCCAUUAGAUAGUAGGCGGGGUAACGGCCCACCUAGUCUUCGAUGGAUAGGGGUUCUGAGAGGAAGGUCCCCCACAUUGGAACUGAGACACGGUCCAAACUCCUACGGGAGGCAGCAGUGAGGAAUAUUGGUCAAUGGGCGAGAGCCUGAACCAGCCAAGUAGCGUGAAGGAUGACUGCCCUAUGGGUUGUAAACUUCUUUUAUAAAGGAAUAAAGUCGGGUAUGCAUACCCGUUUGCAUGUACUUUAUGAAUAAGGAUCGGCUAACUCCGUGCCAGCAGCCGCGGUAAUACGGAGGAUCCAAGCGUUAUCCGGAUUUAUUGGGUUUAAAGGGAGCGUAGAUGGAUGUUUAAGUCAGUUGUGAAAGUUUGCGGCUCAACCGUAAAAUUGCAGUUGAUACUGGAUAUCUUGAGUGCAGUUGAGGCAGGCGGAAUUCGUGGUGUAGCGGUGAAAUGCUUAGAUAUCACGAAGAACUCCGAUUGCGAAGGCAGCCUGCUAAGCUGCAACUGACAUUGAGGCUCGAAAGUGUGGGUAUCAAACAGGAUUAGAUACCCUGGUAGUCCACACGGUAAACGAUGAAUACUCGCUGUUUGCGAUAUACGGCAAGCGGCCAAGCGAAAGCGUUAAGUAUUCCACCUGGGGAGUACGCCGGCAACGGUGAAACUCAAAGGAAUUGACGGGGGCCCGCACAAGCGGAGGAACAUGUGGUUUAAUUCGAUGAUACGCGAGGAACCUUACCCGGGCUUAAAUUGCAGAUGAAUUACGGUGAAAGCCGUAAGCCGCAAGGCAUCUGUGAAGGUGCUGCAUGGUUGUCGUCAGCUCGUGCCGUGAGGUGUCGGCUUAAGUGCCAUAACGAGCGCAACCCUUGUUGUCAGUUACUAACAGGUUCCGCUGAGGACUCUGACAAGACUGCCAUCGUAAGAUGUGAGGAAGGUGGGGAUGACGUCAAAUCAGCACGGCCCUUACGUCCGGGGCUACACACGUGUUACAAUGGGGGGUACAGAGGGCCGCUACCACGCGAGUGGAUGCCAAUCCCCAAAACCUCUCUCAGUUCGGACUGGAGUCUGCAACCCGACUCCACGAAGCUGGAUUCGCUAGUAAUCGCGCAUCAGCCACGGCGCGGUGAAUACGUUCCCGGGCCUUGUACACACCGCCCGUCAAGCCAUGGGAGCCGGGGGUGCCUGAAGUGCGUAACCGCGAGGAG